rnacentral:rRNA from 1 species
UACGAAGGGUGCAAGCGUUACUCGGCAUUACUGGGCGUAAAGCGUGCGUAGGUGGUUCGUUAAGUCUGUCGUGAAAGCCCCGGGCUCAACCUGGGAAUGGCGAUGGAUACUGGCGAGCUAGAGUGCGGUAGAGGAGAGUGGAAUUCCCGGUGUAGCAGUGAAAUGCGUAGAGAUCGGGAGGAACAUCAGUUGCGAAGGCGGCUCUCUGGACCAGCACUGACACUGAGGCACGAAAGCGUGGGGAGCAAACAGG